AAGAAAGCAGUGUGACGGCAGGUGGGCAUCUUCUCAAGUAAAGUGAAUACUUCAAUUAAUGUGAAAGAUGCAUUUUACGGACAGGUGUUAAUUCUAUUCCUGUUUUCAUUGUUUUGACACUCUUUUAAAUAUUCCUAAUAGAUGUUAAUAAUAGUAAGAAAAGAAACUGAGAGUAUUGCAAGGAAAGUAAUUUGUAUACAUUCCUUAUCCUUCAGAAUCCUGUCAGAAAACUGUGCUAACUUAGCUAAGUUUAAAAACAAAAAAAACAACCCAGAGACAUUUAUAUGGAAAAGCCAAUUAACUGAGAUUUCAAAAGAAACCCUGAACAUAACUGUGCUUUAUUUAAUUCAGGACGUUUUAUUUAUAAAUGCAUUAAUGAAUUGGACCAGCAGUGGUUCCGACAGAUUAAUAUGAGCCAGUGGACAGGUACCUGCUUGUUAGCUGGGGCUAUAUUAGCAAAACAGCCUUCUGUUAUUAUGGUGAUUAGGAGCGUUAAUACAAUGUUCCAGUAUGUGUCGCUGUGAGCGUCUAGGUCGCGUUCCGCCACACAUUCGCAGAAAUAGAAGAAGACGUGCGGCAGUUUUGCUGAUUGAUGAGCUGAGCUCUCCGACUCUACUAAUCAUCUUUACAUUCAAAUAUUUCUGACAGAGUUUUACCUCCACAGUUCCAUCUGAUCCGUUGUGGGUGAAUUUGAGGAGGUUAACUGCGUUCUGCUGUAAAGAUCAAGGUAUGAGUCAUUCACUUGCCUCCUAACCUCCACUGUGACAUCAGCCGUUGCGCGUUGGCCAUCUUCAGGUAUACUCACCCACCUGCUCGUUACCUCCCCCAAGUUUUCAGAUUGCGAUGUCAUUUUAGGUUUAUGAUCAGGAUGGCUGGACUGAAAGAAAGAAAAAAAAAAACAGCCAUUUGUGUACAGAUCUCUGAACUUUCUCAGUGUCAUCAUCACCUUUAUUCAUCUCUGGCCAAAUAACGUUUAUUAUAUAAUUUUAUUGAUGGGGAAACUGGAAAGUUAUACAGAAAUACGUUAUUAUAUAAAGUAUUUGUUUUCAAUAUAGGCAAGCUGGAAGAGUAUUGAACCGUCACUGUUGCACUCUAUUAUACUUAUGUAUAGAUAUUUUUUUGUUUCUUUCAGACUGGUGUCACUAACAUUGCUAAUGAUGUCAUUGGAAGAUAUGCAAAAUAUUUAACAAACGCCACGUGCAAAUGUUCCGAGCAGUUGAAUUAUGAGUCUUUAACACGUUACACUGCAGUGGUAUAGGAGUGACCUUGGAGCAAAAGAAAGCAUCAACACUAUCUAAACAGAUCUAAUUGAGUGGUAUCCUGUCAUCUUCUACUGUCCUCUUUCCUACAUGUCUUAUAUUUUCUUCUGCAAGAACAUUAAAAGCUCC